AACGUCGAUAUUCGACGUCAUAAACACGAUCAACUUUGGUGUUUAUGACGUCGAUAUUCGACGUCAUAAACACGAGCAACUUCGGUGUUUAUGACGUCGAUAUUCGACGUCAUAAACACGACAACUUUGGUGUUUAUGACGUCGAUAUUCGACGUCAUAAACACGGUCAACUUUGGUGUUUAUGACGUCGAUAUUCGACGUC